rnacentral:rRNA from 1 species
UACGUAGGGUGCAAGCGUUGUCCGGAAUUAUUGGGCGUAAAGAGCUCGUAGGCGGUUUGUCGCGUCUGCUGUGAAAACUCGGGGCUUAACUCCGGGCCUGCAGUGGGUACGGGCAGACUAGAGUGCGGUAGGGGAGACUGGAAUUCCUGGUGUAGCGGUGAAAUGCGUAGAGAUCGGGAAGAACACCCGUGGCGAAAGCGCUCUACUGGACUGCAACUGACACUCAGGGACGAAAGCUAGGGGAGCGAAUGGG